UAGAAGACUAACUGCAACAAAAGUGCUUGUGAGCCAACGAAACAUAAAGUAGAACCUCGAUAGUUCGACACUCCCUGUAGUUCGACACAGGCCGUGAUGACAAGACAUGGCAUCAGUGGCCGAUGACGGGUUCACCAAGGAAAAGAGGAGUUAUUGGUGCACAGAAUAGGAACAUCAGGCUGAGGUUAUGCGACAGUAAAUAAUGUAUAAGUAAAAUGUCACUUAAUUUAACUCAUGUUCUAAUUUUCAAGUUUGUUUUAUACUUUAUAUUUUCAUAAAAUAAAUUUACUAUAACCAAUGUCACUUGCUACAUUUUAUUUAUACCCCCACAAAUAGUGAUAUUUUGGCUAUGUUUGAAGAACUGUUUUGAACUUUUAAACUUUUUGUUGAUCACUGAGAUGUCUUUUCUAAAGCAGGGUCUGGUGUAAUUUGAUGAGGCCUUAUUAAAAAUUAAAUGCUCUCACCCUUCACUCACAAGCUUGGCAGAAUAGGCUUAUUAUUUUUAACCUAACUCAGUUAUCCUAUACAACAUUUAAAUAAAGUGUUAUAGCAUCAUUUAUAGGUUUCUAGCUGCCCCUCCCCUUGGGCUUCACAACAGAAUUGAAAAAUUUUCUUUGCUACAAACAGUUGUUUUGCAUUGGUUUUGCUUAGAAUUUUCCUAACAGCGGUUUGGUAGCUAAUACAAUUAAACAAAA